GACGAACGCUGGCGGCGUGCUUAACACAUGCAAGUCGAACGAUGAACCCGGAGCUUGCUCCGGUGGAUUAGUGGCGAACGGGUGAGUAACACGUGAGUAACCUGCCCUUGACUCUGGGAUAACUGCGGGAAACUGUAGCUAAUACCGGAUACGACCCUCGGCGGCAUCGCCAGGGGGUGGAAAGAAUUUCGGUCAAGGAUGGACUCGCGGCCUAUCAGCUAGUUGGUGAGGUAACGGCUCACCAAGGCGACGGCGGGUAGCCGGCCUGAGAGGGUGGCCGGACACACUGGGACUGAGACACGGCCCAGACUCGCACGGGAGGCAGCAGUGGGGAAUAUUGCACAAUGGGCGCAAGCCUGAGGCAGCAACGCCGCGUGGGGGAUGACGGGCUUCGGGUUGUAAACCGCUUUUAGUAGGGAAGAAGCGAAAGUGACGGUACCUGCAGAAAAAGCACCGGCUAACUACGUGCCAGCCGCCGCAGUAA
rnacentral:rRNA from 1 species